rnacentral:rRNA from 1 species
UACGGAGGGUGCAAGCGUUUAAUCGGAAUUACUGGGCGUAAAGCGUGCGUAGGCGGUUCGUUAAGUCUGUUGUGAAAGCCCCGGGCUCAACCUGGGAAUGGCAAUGGAUACUGGCGAGCUAGAGUGUGUCAGAGGAUGGUGGAAUUCCCGGUGUAGCGGUGAAAUGCGUAGAGAUCGGGAGGAACAUCAGUGGCGAAGGCGGCCAUCUGGGACAACACUGACGCUGAGGCACGAAAGCGUGAGGAGCAAACAGG